GUUUGAUCCUGGCUCAGGAUGAACGCUGGCGGCGUGCCUAACACAUGCAAGUCGAGCGAUUCUCUUCGGAGAAGAGCGGCGGACGGGUGAGUAACGCGUGGGUAACCUGCCCUGUACACACGGAUAACAUACCGAAAGGUAUGCUAAUACGAGAUAAUAUGCUUUUAUCGCAUGGUAGAAGUAUCAAAGCUUUUGCGGUACAGGAUGGACCCGCGUCUGAUUAGCUAGUUGGUAAGGUAACGGCUUACCAAGGCGACGAUCAGUAGCCGACCUGAGAGGGUGAUCGGCCACAUUGGAACUGAGACACGGUCCAAACUCCUACGGGAGGCAGCAGUGGGGAAUAUUGCACAAUGGGCGAAAGCCUGAUGCAGCAACGCCGCGUGAGCGAUGAAGGCCUUCGGGUCGUAAAGCUCUGUCCUCAAGGAAGAUAAUGACGGUACUUGAGGAGGAAGCCCCGGCUAACUACGUGCCAGCAGCCGCGGUAAUACGUAGGGGGCUAGCGUUAUCCGGAAUUACUGGGCGUAAAGGGUGCGUAGGUGGUUUCUUAAGUCAGAGGUGAAAGGCUACGGCUCAACCGUAGUAAGCCUUUGAAACUGGGAAACUUGAGUGCAGGAGAGGAGAGUGGAAUUCCUAGUGUAGCGGUGAAAUGCGUAGAUAUUAGGAGGAACACCAGUGGCGAAGGCGGCUUUCUGGACUGAAACUGACACUGAGGCACGAAAGCGUGGGGAGCAAACAGGAUUAGAUACCCUGGUAGUCCACGCCGUAAACG
rnacentral:rRNA from 1 species